rnacentral:rRNA from 1 species
AGUGAACGCUGGCGGUAGGCCUAACACAUGCAAGUCGAACGGCAGCACAGUAAGAGCUUGCUCUUACGGGUGGCGAGUGGCGGACAGGUGAGGAAUACAUCGGAAUCUACUUUUUCGUGGGGGAUAACGUAGGGAAACUUACGCUAAUACCGCAUACGACCUACGGGUGAAAGCAGGGGAUCUUCGGACCUUGCGCGAUUGAAUGAGCCGAUGUCGGAUUAGCUAGUUGGCGGGGUAAAGGCCCACCUAGGCGACGAUCCGUAGCUGGUCUGAGAGGAUGAUCAGCCACACUGGAACUGAGACACGGUCCAGACUCCUACGGGAGGCAGCAGUGGGGAAUAUUGGACAAUGGGCGCAAGCCUGAUCCAGCCAUACCGCGUGGGUGAAGAAGGCCUUCGGGUUGUAAAGCCCUUUUGUUGGGAAAGAAAAGCAGCAGGUUAAUACCCCGCUGUUCUGACGGUACCCAAAGAAUAAGCACCGGCUAACUUCGUG